GGGGACAUGGUGUACUGCUGGCUAAAGUCACACUGGGCUGUAAACCCAGCGCUUUCGGGCUUCGGGGGUUCGAUUCCCUCUGUCCCCACCA
rnacentral:tRNA from 1 species